rnacentral:other from 1 species
AACUAAUAGUAGAGUCGGUCUUGUAGGAGAAAUUCAGCAAAGCAGUUCAUGAAUAAGACGUAUACCGCUGUAGUAUGCCGUGCACCGUCCUGUUUUUGAUUCCGCGAGUACUGUAUUUCCGUAAACGCUGUCCACAUGCAGUGGCGGCAGAUAAAUGAUUGAUUGCAGGAAUAUUCAUAGUAUGUCUACUACUACCGGUACCGUUAAGUUCUUCAACGAAGCAAAAGGUUUUGGUUUCAUCACUCGCGAAGGCGGCCCGGACGUUUUCGUUCACUUCAGCGCCAUCCAGGGUUCAGGGUUCAAAACUCUGGCUGAAGGCCAGCAGGUCGAGUUCACCGUCACCCAGGGCCAAAAAGGACCUCAGGCGGAGAACGUUGUUGCUCUGUAAGUAGCAGACAACAGCACUUCAAGAAAGGCAGCCUCGGCUGCCUUUUUUUG